rnacentral:rRNA from 1 species
CAUGAACGCUGGCGGCGUGCCUAAUACAUGCAAGUCGAACGAAUCUUCUUCGGAAGAUGAGUGGCGAACGGGUGAGUAAUACAUAGGUAACCUGCCCCUGUGCGGGGGAUAACAGGAGGAAACUCCUGCUAAUACCGCAUAGCCAUGAGCACCGCAUGGAGCUCAUGCCAAAUAUCCUUUCGGGGAUAGCGCAGGGAUGGACCUAUGGCGCAUUAGCUGGUUGGCGGGGCAACGGCCCACCAAGGCAACGAUGCGUAGCCGGCCUGAGAGGGCGGACGGCCACAUUGGGACUGAGACACGGCCCAGACUCCUACGGGAGGCAGCAGUAGGGAAUUUUCGGCAAUGGGGGAAACCCUGACCGAGCAACGCCGCGUGAGCGAAGAAGGCCUUCGGGUCGUAAAGCUCUGUUGUAAAGGAAGAACGGCGCAUACAGGAAAUGGUAUGCGAGUGACGGUACUUUACCAGAAAGCCACGGCUAACUACGUGCCAGCCGCCGCGGUAAAAC